ACAUGAUCUAAGAUGAAGGACUGAUCUCCUGACUCAUGACUCCGUCCUUGCUCAGACUCUACUACAAAGGAGAUACUACCACCUUGCUUGGCCCAGGAAACUCUGUCAUGCUGUGAAAAAGUGGCCAAAGGGAGUCUCAGCUGCAGUGAGCCAACUAUUUCAUCUGGUUUUCAAUUAAACAAACCAAACCAGGAGAAGUGUGCUGAGGGAUUCUGUGUCAGUCCAACAUUUUCCAAGGGAUGUUCUACAUAGUUUCCAUCUUACAUGCUGGCUUCAAAACUGAGCUUCUAUGUAAAUGUGAUUCUGCUAUGCCUGAGGAUUGGAUUCCUUUGCCAAAUCUCAAUUCAGAUAU